rfam:Rhinolophus ferrumequinum clone VMRC7-311G24, complete sequence.
AAAGGACCUGUAUGAAACACAAGAUGGCGAGGAAGUGGAAGGAAAAAUGAACUAAUGCCGGUAGUUAGCUUUGUCAAA